rnacentral:misc_RNA from 1 species
AACGCACAUUGCGCCCUUUGGUAUUCCAAAGGGCAUGCCUGUUCGAGCGUCAUUUGUACCCUCAAGCUUUGCUUGGUGUUGGGCGUCUUUGUCUUUUGGCUCUUUUGCCUCGAGACUCGCCUUAAAACGAUUGGCAGCCGGCCUACUGGUUUCGCAGCGCAGCACAUUUUUGCGCUUGCAAUCAGCAAAAGAGGACGGCACUCCAUCAAGACUCCUCCUCACGUUUGACCUCGGAUCAGGUAGGGAUACCCGCUGAACUUAA